rnacentral:rRNA from 1 species
UGAGGAAUAUUGGUCAAUGGGCGCAGGCCUGAACCAGCCAAGUAGCGUGAAGGAUGACUGCCCUAUGGGUUGUAAACUUCUUUUAUAAAGGAAUAAAGUCGGGUAUGUAUACCCGUUUGCAUGUACUUUAUGAAUAAGGAUCGGCUAACUCCGUGCCAGCAGCCGCGGUAAUACGGAGGAUCCGAGCGUUAUCCGGAUUUAUUGGGUUUAAAGGGAGCGUAGAUGGAUGUUUAAGUCAGUUGUGAAAGUUUGCGGCUCAACCGUAAAAUUGCAGUUGAUACUGGAUAUCUUGAGUGCAGUUGAGGCAGGCGGAAUUCGUGGUGUAGCGGUGAAAUGCUUAGAUAUCACGAAGAACUUCGAUUGCGAAGGCAGCCUGCUAAGCUGCAACUGACAUUGAGGCUCGAAAGUGUGGGUAUCAAACAGGAUUAGAUACCCUGGUAGUCCACACGGUAAACGAUGAAUACUCGCUGUUUGCGAUAUACUGCAAGCGGCCAAGCGAAAGCGUUAAGUAUUCCACCUGGGGAGUACGCCGGCAACGGUGAAACUCAAAGGAAUUGACGGGGGCCCGCACAAGCGGAGGAACAUGUGGUUUAAUUCGAUGAUACGCGAGGAACCUUACCCGGGCUUAAAUUGCAGAUGAAUUACGGUGAAAGCCGUAAGCCGCAAGGCAUCUGUGAAGGUGCUGCAUGGUUGUCGUCAGCUCGUGCCGUGAGGUGUCGGCUUAAGUGCCAUAACGAGCGCAACCCUUGUUGUCAGUUACUAACAGGUUCCGCUGAGGACUCUGACAAGACUGCCAUCGUAAGAUGUGAGGAAGGUGGGGAUGACGUCAAAUCAGCACGGCCCUUACGUCCGGGGCUACACACGUGUUACAAUGGGGGGUACAGAGGGCCGCUACCACGCGAGUGGAUGCCAAUCCCCAAAACCUCUCUCAGUUCGGACUGGAGUCUGCAACCCGACUCCACGAAGCUGGAUUCGCUAGUAAUCGCGCAUCAGCCACGGCGCGGUGAAUACGUUCCC